GUAGGGGUGAAAGGCUAAUCAAACUCGGAGAUAGCUCGUACUCCCCGAAAUGCAUUUAGGUGCAGCGUUGAGUCGAGUGUGAUGGAGGUAGAGCUACCGAUAGGGCUAGGGGGCUUCGCGGCCUACCAACCCCUGACGAACUCCGAAUGCCAUCACACUGCAUCAGCAGUGAGGCGUAGGGUGCAACGUCCUAUGCCGAGAGGGAAACAACCCAGACCAUCAGCUAAGGUCCCCAAAUUUUAGUUAAGUUGAAUGAACGAGGUGGGAAUGCUAAGACAGCUAGGAUGUUGGCUUAGAAGCAGCCACCAUUUAAAAAGUGCGUAACAGCUUACUAGUCGAGCAAUUUUGCGCCGAUAAUGAACGGGAGUAAGUAUUACACCGAAGCAGUAGAUUCAGUGAUUCUUCGGAUGAUCUGUUUGGUAGGAGAGCGCUGUAGGUCAGAUACAAGCCGUACCGAAAGGAGCGGUGUCGGGGCCUACAGGUGAUUAUGCCGGAAUGAGUAACGAUAAAGCAGGUGAGAAUCCUGCUCGCCGAAAGCCUAAGGUUUCCUGGGGAAGGCAAUUCCGCCCAGGGUUAGCCGGUACCUUAGUCGAGGCCGAAAGGCGUAGACGAUGGAUAGCAGGUCAACAUUCCUGCGCCGGUGUGUGGACUGAUGGAGGGACGGCAUCCAGAAAGAGAGCGGUACGAAUAGAAAUGUCCGUGGCGAAAGCUGAGCCGGCGGGAUGUAAAUGCACCCGCAUAACGCAAGGCUGAGACCGACUGGCUAUGACCGGGAAGUCAUUGGAAGGUUGUCCAAGAAAAGCUUCUAAGCUUUGAAGCAAGUUGACCGUACUAAAACUGACACAGGUAGGCGAGACGAGUAGUCUAAGGCGCUCGGGAGAACGGUGGUUAAGGAACUCUGCAAAAUGGCCCCGUAAGUUCGCGAUAAGGGGCGCCUCGCAAGAGGCCACAGAAAAUCGGCUCUAACGACUGUUUAUCAAAAACACAGGUCUCUGCUAACACGCAAGUGGAUGUAUAGAGACUGACGCCUGCCCGGUGCUGGUAGGUUAAGGAAGGGGGUUAGCAUUAGCGAAGCUCACAACCGAAGCCCCAGUAAACGGCGGCCGUAACUAUGACGGUCCUAAGGUAGCGAAGUUCCUUGUCGGGUAAGUUCCGACCUGCAUGAAUGGCGUAACGACUGGCGCACUGUCUCAACCAGCAACCCGGUGAAAUUGUAGUCGUGGUGAAGAUGCCACGUACCCGCGGUUAGACGGAAAGACCCCGUGAACCUUCACUGUAGGCUGAUAUUGGGUUGAGGUAUGUCUUGUGUAGUAUAGCUGGGAGGCUGUGAUCUGGGCGCGCUAGCGUUCAAGGAGCCAUCGUUGAAAUACCAGCCUGGUCAUGCUUUAAUUCUAACCCUAUACCGUGAAACCGGUUAGGGAACAGUGUCAGUUGGGCAGUUUGAC
rnacentral:rRNA from 1 species